rnacentral:lncRNA from 1 species
GUCUUUUCUAGGGCCACACCCAUGGCAUAUGGAGGUUCCCAGGCUAGGGGCCUAAUCAGAGCUGUAGCCACCAGCCUACACCAGAGCCACAGCAAUGCGAGAUCCCAGCCGCGUCUGCAACCUACACCACAGCUCACGGCAACACCAGAUCCUUAACCCACUGAGCAAGGCCAGGCAUCGAACCCGCAACCUCAUGGUUCCUAGUCGGAUUUGUUAACCACUGUGCCACGACGGGAACUCCACUGCAUAUUUUAUAGAUUGAUGCUAGUUUGAUGCUCUGUGGCCUGUGUUUUUUGGCAUGAUAAAGGAGUAUCUUCAAAGCCUGAAAGACCUUCUCCGACUACCCAAAAGUUUAUUCCUCCCACUGUUAGAAACAUCUCAGGAACAUCAGGCAAACCCUGGCUCGGGUAGCUUGAACUGACCUUCGGUGGCUAGACACUAAGACGUUCUCAAGCCCGUCCAUAAAAGAGAUCAGUGAUCAAUAUUUCCAAAUUCCUGUCUGGAAAUUAUAGGAAUUGCCCAUGAGAGCAGCAAUCUUAGUGUUUCCCCAAGCAUUUAAGCAGAGGCAGGAGAAGCAUCUGUUAGAGGUGGUGUGCAGUGCACGCCUAUCCUGAGUAAUAAGUUUGUAUUAGUCUGUACCACUUAAUCACUACUGCGUAACAAAGUACCCCCAAAACUUGGUGGCUUAACCAACAAUCAACAUUGAUUCUCUCUCAGGUCCUAAAGGACAAGAAUCUGAAAAUGCACUUUUAUGCAGAAACGUAAAAAUACAACAAACUAGUGAAUAUAACAAAAAAAAAAUAGAAGCAGAUCACAAACCAGCAGUUACCAGUGGGGAGAGAGAAGGAAAUAUAAGGAUGGGGGAGAUAGGCUCAAGGAGGUAUUAUGCAACAUCGGAAUACAGCCAAUAUUUUGCAAUAAUUAUGUACGGAAAGCAACCCUGAAAUUGUAUUAAAAUGUUUUUAAAGUAUUUCCAAUUUUUUUAAAAGAAUUUGAGGAGUUCCCAUCGUGGCUCAGCAGUUAACGAACCCAACUAGCAUCCAUGAGGACGGAGGUUCGAUCCCUGGCCUUGCUCAGUGGGUUAAGGAUCUGGCGUUGCCGUGAGCUAUGGUGUAGGUCACAGACGAAGCUCAGAUCCCAUGUGGCUGUGGCUGUGGUGUAGGCAGUGGCUAUAGCUCCAAUUCGACCCCUAGCCUGGGAACCUCCAUACACUGCAGGUGCAGCCCUAAAAAGACCAAAAAAAAAAAAAAAAAGAAUUUGAAAAAGGUGCGGGUGGGAGUUUCUGGUAUGAAGGGGCAAUCAAGUUGUCAGCUGGGCCUGUCAUCAUCUGAAAGCUUGACUAGGGCCAAAGGACCCGCCUGGCAAGUUGGUGCCGGGCUUUGGCAAAAGGCCUUGGAUCCUUCCACCAUGGACAUGGUCACAGGACAGUUUGCAUAUCUUCACAACACAGGAACUGGCUUCACCCAGAGCAAAUAUCCAACAUGAAAAUAACCAAGGUUUUUUAAUUGACCUAGACUCAGAAAUUACACCAGGGUCACUUUUAUAGUAUUCUACUGGUCACCCAGGCCAGCCAUGAGCCUGCGUGGGGGAGACAACACAAGGACAUGACAUGAAGGUGUCCAGUCCCCAUCCAGUAUGCCAGGAGCCUGGAAGUCCUCAGUCCCAUUCCUACAAGAAAAGUGUAUGCAUUCCUGAAUAACAUCAUGUCAGACUUAGGUGCAUAAAAUCCCAUCGUACACACUCUUUUGUGUCAUAUUUCUUUGCCUCAUCAUCAUGUUUGUAGGAUUCAUACAUAUUGCUGCAUGUAGCAGUGGUUUGGGUUUUUUUUCAUUCCAUUGGAAGAAUACAGCACAAUGCAUUUGCCUGUCCUCCCGCUGAUGGACACUUGAGUCCUUUUGGGGACCACUACGAGCAUCCCUGUGAUGCACACACGCGUCUCUCUACAACAGGCACCAGGAGCAGAGUUGCUGGGUGUGUGCAGGGCCAGCUCUAGUGCUGGUCUCCCUAGAGUUUGUACCCCUUCCAUUGCUAACAACACAGAGGAGAGAUUCCUUGGCUCCAUGUUGUCAAUACUUAGUUCCAAUGAGAUGGACCUUUCUGAAAAUGUGCAUCAGAUGAGCUUCACUCUCUUGCUUCAAGCCCAUUUUACUUGCAAUAAAAUCCAAAUAUUCGACCCUGGGCCUCUGGGCCCCCACUCCCUCUCCACCCCUACCCAUGACCACCAGGGAGGCGCUUACCACCUACUAUGCUUGAGACACAUCAGCCUCAUUUCUGUUCCCAAAAUUACUAAGCUCAAGUUGGGGAACAGAUGAGGCUGGGGAAGGGGGCCAGGCUUGGAAGUUGCUCCAGGAACUUGUUCGAAUGUCUUUUACACAAGAUAUUACCCACCCCCCAGGGAGUCCCAGGCUCCAUCCCCUUGAAAUGUGGGCAUCUCCCUAGCACAGGUUCUAUGAAUUCUCCUUAUAGCAGGGCCCUGAAAUUUAAGUCAACCAUGUCACCAGUAACAGAUCAGCCCCAACUCUGAUGCAGGAAGAAAAUCUGCGGCUCAGAGAAGAAAAGAAAAAUAAGGAAUAAUUGAGCAUAUUGAUGAAACCAGAGCAGAAAAAACAGAGUGAACAAACAUGCUAGUCAGGACACUUUAAAAGCAGAACCUGGAGUUCGCAUUGUGGCUCAGCAGGUUACAAACCCGACUAUUGUCCAUGAGAAAGUGGGUUCGAUCCCUGGCCUUGCUCACUGUGUUAAGGAUCCAGCAUUGCCGUGAGUUGUGGCGUAGGUCGCAGACGAGGCUCAGAUCCCAUGUUGCUGUGGCUGUGGUGUGGGCUGGCCGCUACAGCUCCAAUUCAACCCCCAGACUGGGAACAUCCAUAUGCCA